AUUCUCGCUGUCAUUGUAUCAGUUUAUUCGCUUUCUUUGAGGAUAUAUGUGGAUUUGUUAAACCGCUCUGUUCUGUAGGGUGUAUCUUGGAAGCACAUUCGGCACUGGACGGUUUUUAAUAUAUAAAGCCCGUGGUUUUGAUAAUCGAUCAUGUCGUACUGCUCGUUCCAGGCGCAGCUGGUGUCCUUCGUGGAGAUCGCAGCCAAAGCGGCGGAAGCGGAGAUCAAGCGGCGCGUGGAGGAGAGCUGCGCGGUCUUCAGACUGGAGCUCAGCCGCAGCCGCAGAGACAUCGAGGCGCUCAAGAGGAAAUGCGUGCUGAUGGACAGCGAGCUGAGGAGGGCCAGAGGACGGGGCAGGAGGACAGUGUGGUUCAAGACGCCGAGAGACGCCGACACGCCUGCGAUCAGAGAUCAAGACCAGAAUCCAGAUCAGACCAGAUCAGAUCAGGUGACCGCACACAAACUCAGAGGAGCGUUCUGAUGUUAUCCCACCCGGAGACAUCAGGACAUUUUCAUAAUCAUAAUUUCAAGGCUCGGAAGAGUCACAGAGCGACAAAUUAUGUGCAGCUGCAAAAUAAAACACGAUAAGUUACGAAAAUCUUUACUUUUAGACGGUUUUUAUAUAUAUAUAUAUAUAUAUAUAAGGGUCAAAGACGAAAAAGGGUUGAAGCAUAAAAACAAUAAGUGUAAUACUGCUUUAAAUUGUUGUAAACAUAAAAUCUAUUUAAAAAUAUAUAUAUUUUUGGUUUAAUCAUUGAUAAACCUCAACAGACUUUAGUUUUCAGCUGGUUCUUGUGUUUGAUUAAUCGGACUGAGUUGAAACACUGAUGUGUGUUGGUGUGUUUUGUAGUCGGUCUGUCCGCUGGAGGACGGAAUCAGACCUCCGGUGAUUAAACAAGAGCGACAGGAACAGGAAUCCGGCAGCGGUGCACGAGGUACGAUCACAUCUGACACUAGAAAACUAAACUUCAGAUGAAUCCUGAUACGACAGGACAAACGCAGAGAUACACUGAUGCUCGGACCCUGUUUGAAUAUCUUCUGUGGAAGCUGCAGAACGUUUUAUACUUUUCUUGUUUAGCGUUUAACUCAACUCUGCGAUUGAAGAAAGUCAUACAGGUUUGGAACAACAUGAGGGAGA
rnacentral:lncRNA from 1 species